rnacentral:rRNA from 1 species
UACAGGGGGUGCAAACGUUGCUCGGAAUUAUUGGGCGUAAAGCGCGCGUAGGCGGCUACUUAAGUCGGAUGUGAAAGCCCUUGGCUCAACUGAGGAAGUGCACCCGAAACUGAGUGGCUAGAGUACGAAAGAGGGUCGCGGAAUUCCCGGUGUAGAGGUGAAAUUCGUAGAUAUCGGGAGGAACACCGGUGGCGAAGGCGGCGACCUGGGUCGAUACUGACGCUGAUGCGCGAAAGCGUGGGGAGCAAACAGG